AAAAAAGCAGGGUUCUGUUUCCUUUUGUGAAUGGGGUCCUCGUUAAGUUCAGGGAAAAUGAAUGCAUUGUUAUUGGGUGAACCUCUGUAAAGUUAGUUGCUAAAGGUUCAGUAAAUGAUGCUACAUGA
rfam:Cucumis sativus cultivar 9930 chromosome 5, whole genome shotgun sequence.